GGAUGAUGGGUAGAGCUUAGGUGGGAACAGAAGGAAAAUGUUCUGAAAGUCGUGGGUGAGCCUGUACUGUGUGCUUAGUAAGGGGGAACUGGGCUUCUACAAGGACUCCAAGGGCCCGGCAUCCGGGAGCACACACGGUGGGGAACCGCUGCUCAGCCUGCACAAGGCCACCAGCGAGGUGGCUAGUGACUACAAGAAAAAGAAGCAUGUCUUCAAGCUCCAGACCCAGGAUGGCAGUGAGUUUUUGCUCCAGGCAAAAGAUGAGGUGAGAUCUGGUCCUUUCCUCCCUCUGUGUGGACCUCAGUAAUGACCUGGCUGUCUGGCUCCUGACCCAGAGUGAUGGGGCUGUGAGAAGGGUCACUCACAGGCCAGAGUUAUCAGGGCUGUAAUGGGAAAGCCCACAGGCACUGAGAGCCCAAAGGAGGUUCCUAACCCAGUGGGGAGUGGGAAGGGCUUCAGGGAGGGCUGCCUGCAGAUCCUGAUGACAAAGUCCAACAUCUUUGCCGUGGUCACUCAGGAGGAGAUGAACGGCUGGCUGGAGGCUGUGGCUUCCUCGGUGGCGGAACACGCAGAGAUCGCCCGCUGGGGCCAGACACUACCCACUACUUCAUCCACAGAUGAGGGCAACCCUAAGAGGGAAAGCGGGGAUCGCAGGGCCAGCGGGCGCAGGAAGUGACUUCCCACCCCCAGGACCUGACACAUCUCGUCUCCC
rnacentral:sRNA from 1 species